GACGUAGCUCAUUGGCAGAACAUCUGCUUUUCAUGUAGAAGAUCCCACGUUAAAUCCCUGGCAUCUCCA